rnacentral:rRNA from 1 species
CCUACGGGAGGCAGCAGUGGGGAAUAUUGCGCAAUGGGCGAAAGCCUGACGCAGCGACGCCGCGUGCGGGAUGAAGGUCUUCGGAUCGUAAACCUCUGUCAGCAGGGAAGAACGGUCACUGUGCUAAUCCGCAGUGAAUUGACGGUACCUACAAAGUAAGCACCGGCAAACUCCGUGCCAGCAGCCGCGGUAAUACGGGGGGUGCGAGCGUUAAUCGGAUUUACUGGGCGUAAGGCGCGCGUAGGCGGUAGGUCAAGUUAAGGGUGAAAUCCCCGCGCUCAACGUGGGAAGUGCCUUUGAAACUGGCAAGCUGGAGUGUGGGAGAGGUUAGAGGAAUGCCAGGUGUAGGAGUGAAAUCCGUAGAUAUCAGAAAGAACACCAGUGGCGAAGGCGACUAAC